AGCAGCAUCAGUCUUGUUGAUCAAUCAGCUGCUGCUGGUGUCGCCGGCGGUUUGGCCGGAGGAGGAAUACUCCCAGGGCGUCAUGUCCAUGGGGUAGCUGCCGAGCACCCGGAGGAAGGAGGUGAACUCCUGUAUCUCCGACAGCGCGUUCUGCGCCCUGACUUCCGCCAUGGACGCCUGGAAGUCGAUGUAGAACAUGUACUCGAAGUGCUUGGCCGUGCCCACGUUGGCGUCGUCGACGAGCCGGAUGGGGCGGUGGCGGUGUGGGCGGCUCUCGAUCUUGGUGAGGCUGAUGUCCCGGAACGCGAAGGCCGACAGCACCUUGAAGAGCACCGACGUGCCCUCCCUGUCGUGCGCGAACACGAUGCUCGUCUUGAAUGGCCGGUCCGUUCGCGGGAUGAUGGGCUCCCGCGCCAGCAUCACGAACCGCGUCACGUUCCCGGCGUCGUCCUGGAUGCCGUCCGCGAGCACCUGGAGCCCGUACAGCUCGGCGGCGCGGGAGGACGCGAUGGCGGCGGUGUCGCGGAGCCCCGCGGCGGCGACGUGCUCGGCGGCGGCCGCGGUGUCGUCGAAGGCCUCGCGGGCGACGUUGAGGCCCAUGGCGUUGAGGGUGAGCUCGCACUGGGCGAGCGCCUGCGGGUGGGAGAUGACGCGGGUGAGGAGGUCGCUGCGGACGCCCGGGAGCGCGAGGAGGCAGUGGUGGACGGGGAGCUGGACCUCGCCGACGAUGUGGAGGCGGUGGCGGAGGAGGAGGUCGUAGUUGCGGUGGAUGCUGCCGCCGAGGGAGUUCUCGACGGGGAGGACGGCGCGGUCGGCGAUCCAGAGCUCGACGGCCUGGAAGGCCACCUCGAACUGGUCGCAGGGGAUGGCGUCGCAGGAGGGGUAGGCCUUGGCGGCGGCGGCCUCGCUGUAUGCCCCCGGGACACCCUGGUAGGCGACGCGCAGCUGGCUGCCGUGCAUGGGCGCGGGGGAGAGGUCGGUGAUGGUGAGCGGGCGAGGGAGGUUGGAGACGGGGAGCAGAUCCAGGUCGAGCGGCGGCGCGGCGUGGUCGGCGAGGGCGGGCUUGAUGCUGUCGCCGUUCACCCGCGGGGCGCCAUAGGCUUUGGCGUUGGUGGUGGUCUGCCAGUGGGCGCGGGAGAAGGGGGUGGCGCACGGCGGGCGGAUGGCCGUGGAUCUGGGGAUCUGGGUGGGGCGCGGCGCGGGCAGAGUUUCCAUCAUCCGGCGGACGGCGACGGCGAGGGGUGGGUGGCGGGAAAGGGCGGCCUCCCUCCCUCCCUGUAGCUGCAAGGGAAGGGAAGCUAAAGCUUUGUGUCUCUCGGUGGUGUUGCGUUUGUCGAGAAGAUG
rnacentral:lncRNA from 1 species